UACGAAGGGGGCUAGCGUUGCUCGGAAUCACUGGGCGUAAAGCGCACGUAGGCGGCUUUUUAAGUCAGGGGUGAAAUCCUGGAGCUCAACUCCAGAACUGCCUUUGAUACUGAAGAUCUUGAGUUCGGGAGAGGUGAGUGGAACUGCGAGUGUAGAGGUGAAAUUCGUAGAUAUUCGGAGGAACACCAGUGGCGAAGGCGGCUCACUGGUCCAUUACUGACGCUGAGGUGCGAAAGCGUGGGGAGCAAACAGG
rnacentral:rRNA from 1 species